rnacentral:rRNA from 1 species
AUUGAACGCUGGCGGCAGGCCUAACACAUGCGAGUCAAGCGGAUGAAGGGAGCUUGCUCCUGGAUUCAGCGGCGGACGGGUGAGUAAUGCCUAGGAAUCUGCCUGGUAGUGGGGGAUAACGUCCGGAAACGGGCGCUAAUACCGCAUACGUCCUGAGGGAGAAAGUGGGGGAUCUUCGGACCUCACGCUAUCAGAUGAGCCUAGGUCGGAUUAGCUAGUUGGUGGGGUAAAGGCCUACCAAGGCGACGAUCCGUAACUGGUCUGAGAGGAUGAUCAGUCACACUGGAACUGAGACACGGUCCAGACUCCUACGGGAGGCAGCAGUGGGGAAUAUUGGACAAUGGGCGAAAGCCUGAUCCAGCCAUGCCGCGUGUGUGAAGAAGGUCUUCGGAUUGUAAAGCACUUUAAGUUGGGAGGAAGGGCAGUAAGUUAAUACCUUGCUGUUUUGACGUUACCAACAGAAUAAGCACCGGCUAACUUCGUG